GAUGAACGCUGGCGGCGUGCCUAAUACAUGCAAGUCGAGCGAACGGACGAGAAGCUUGCUUUUCUGAUGUUAGCGGCGGACGGGUGAGUAACACGUGGAUAACCUACCUAUAAGACUGGGAUAACUUCGGGAAACCGGAGCUAAUACCGGAUAAUAUUUUGAACCGCAUGGUUCAAAAGUGAAAGACGGUCUUGCUGUCACUUAUAGAUGGAUCCGCGCUGCAUUAGCUAGUUGGUAAGGUAACGGCUUACCAAGGCAACGAUGCAUAGCCGACCUGAGAGGGUGAUCGGCCACACUGGAACUGAGACACGGUCCAGACUCCUACGGGAGGCAGCAGUAGGGAAUCUUCCGCAACGGGCGAAAGCCUGACGGAGCAACGCCGCGUGAGUAAUGAAGGUCUUCGGAUCGUAAAACUCUGUUAUUAGGGAAGAACAUAUGUGUAAGUAACUGUGCACAUCUUGACGGUACCUAAUCAGAAAGCCACGGCUAACUACGUG
rnacentral:rRNA from 1 species